rnacentral:rRNA from 1 species
UGGGGAAUUUUGGACAAUGGGCGAAAGCCUGACCCAGCAAUGCCGCGUGUGUGAAGAAGGCCUUCGGGUUGUAAAGCACUUUUGUCCGGAAAGAAAUCCUUGGCUCUAAUACAGUCGGGGGAUGACGGUACCGGAAGAAUAAGCACCGGCUAACUACGUGCCAGCAGCCGCGGUAAUACGUAGGGUGCAAGCGUUAAUCGGAAUUACUGGGCGUAAAGCGUGCGCAGGCGGUUUGCUAAGACCGAUGUGAAAUCCCCGGGCUCAACCUGGGAACUGCAUUGGUGACUGGCAGGCUAGAGUAUGGCAGAGGGGGGUAGAAUUCCACGUGUAGCAGUGAAAUGCGUAGAGAUGUGGAGGAAUACCGAUGGCGAAGGCAGCCCCCUGGGCCAAUACUGACGCUCAUGCACGAAAGCGUGGGGAGCAAACAGGAUUAGAUACCCUGGUAGUCCACGCCCUAAAACGAUGUCAACUAGUUGUUGGGGAUUCAUUUCCUUAGUAACGUAGCUAACGCGUGAAGUUGACCNCCUGGGGAGUACGGUCGCAAGAUUAAAACUCAAAGGAAUUGACGGGGUCAUAGCUGUUUCC